CAGCAGCCACGGUAAUACAGAGGGUGCGAGCGUUAAUCGGAUUUACUGGGCGUAAAGCGUGCGUAGGCGGCUAAUUGAGUCGGAUGUGAAAUCCCCGAGCUUAACUUGGGAAUUGCAUUCGAUACUGGUUAGCUAGAGUGUGGGAGAGGAUGGUAGAAUUCCAGGUGUAGCGGUGAAAUGCGUAGAGAUCUGGAGGAAUACCGAUGGCGAAGGCAGCCAUCUGGCCUAACACUGACGCUGAGGUACGAAAGCAUGGGGAGCAAACAGGAUUAGAGACCCCCGUAGUCCCUGUCUCUUAUAC
rnacentral:rRNA from 1 species